rnacentral:lncRNA from 1 species
CUUGCUUAAGCUCUGCCAACAGGGCUUCCCUUUUUGCCGAUAGGUCAGAGAUCAUUUGUUUCAGCGUAUACCCGGAAGAUUUUAGGAUGCCGAUGCUCUUGUGUUUCUCAUCGGCAAGGUGCUUCACUUUCAUUAUCUCUUCUGAGAGCUAGGCAUGAGUGGCUCUAUCGGCAAGGCAUUGGGCAGCUUUUUGAUACUGAAGCUGGUGGCUCUCUAAGUGUGC